CGCGCGUCUAGCGCACCUUCCAGUAUCACCUUAAUAAAUCUACUACUACACUUUAAAGUUUUUCUAAAUACGGGAGGCUAUCAAUCACCACAUGGGAGGUAUGAUAAUAGAUAAGAGGAGAAUAGAGGAUAAAAACAAAGAUAGAUAGUUAGCAAGCCAAAGCGAACUGAUAUUUCCAAACAAUUAAGAAUAAUUUGUUUCCCAUAGUCAUAGCCUUUCUAUAAAGUAGUUUGAAGCGGUGAUAAUAAUUUAGAGCCGGUUUUACACUACUAGUGCCCGCAAGUUGAAUUCCCAACCGUUAGACUGUUAGAGUACCGCCAAUCAUUGUGAAGAAGUACUAGACUACACAGGCCGCUCGAGUCCAGCACAUGCAGUAGUUCCAGAACGAAGCAAUUGUGAUUAUAUACAAGAACUAAACGUAA